ensembl:lncRNA
CUAACACACACAGGGGAGCAGCUGCUAGGGCCCCACCUGGGAGCUGCAGAGCCAGGACGAAGCCUGGGGCCCUGGGCAGGUUUGCCUAGAUGAUGACACUUCAAAAUGAUGAAUAGUUCCCUGUCCCCCCAAAGUUGAAUAAGGUUCAGGCCAGGAUGUGCCCUUGCUUGGUUGCACUGGAGGGCUGCUCUCCAAAGAGCAUAGAACUGAAGCUGGAGACACAACUUCCGGGAUGGUUUGGUCACUUGUCCUGUAUCUCGGAUACAGCCUGUGCUUCCGUCCAGCUUCACAACACACUCGGGGCAGCGAAAACUUACUUUACCUGCACGUGCGCUUCAGCUCCCUGGUGGCCAAGCUGAAGACUGACCUGAGGUUUCCUGAGGGGCACCGGCUGUGACUUGGGACUGCUGUCUUCCCUUUCCUUUCACGGUGCCUGCGAGCCUUGGCUUGCUCUCCAAAGAAGUGGGAAUCCACCAGAAAAUUGGCAAGUGCAAACAAACAGGGAGAAUGGAAACGGGGUCCUCACGUGCUGAUAGGAUAACUGGGGCAGGAGGAUAUGGUUGCUGAGCGCUGAGUGCGGUUUGGGAAGACUUCCUGGAGAAGGGAUGAUUUUGAGCCUUGAUUGAAAUCAGCAAGCAACAAGGGCAAGAAGUACAGCUAAAUAGAUGUGGGAGAGAGAGGCUGAGUCUGGGAAAAAGGUACGUCAAGGAAAAAGUGAUGGUUCUCCUUACAUAUUCCAGUGACUCUCAUGUGGAGGAGGGGUACUUCUCCCACAUACAGGGACCCGUCCUUUUUCUCAUUUGUGCUCCCAGGCCUGGCCCAGUCCCUGGCAGGCAAGAAACAUCCAAACCAUGUUUGCUGAGUGACUGAAAGAACAUACCACAAUAAAAAACAUUAUAAAUAAAUUUUUUAAAAAAAAGAAAGGGCAUACUUACAGAUUUCAUGGCAACGCAAGGAAGUUACAGGAGACCAAUUUCAGCUCAAUAAGAGGAAGGACUUGCUAAAAAUUAGAACUGACAGCUGAAGAACACCAAUAAUAGCUACUGAACAUGUUGUAUGUGCUGUGGACUAGGCUAAACUUUUGAUGUACAUUUCCCAUUGAAGCCUUACAGUAGCUGUUUGAAAUAGGCAUCAUUGUCCUUAUUUUAAAACGAGGAAACGAAGUCACAGAGGUUAAGUCACGUGCAUAGGGUCACAAACCCUUGUUCAGAGCAAGUGGAGGAGCCUUGAUUUGCACCAAAGCUGUCUGACACCAAAGCCACAGCCGACCCCACCCUGGAGGUUUGCCAGUUCCUCCGGCCCUGUUUGCCAGUAUCUCCCGCAUCUUGCUGGCCCAUUGGCUCUUGCAUUUCAUAUGCAGAAUAGGCACAGCCUUUCCCCUGAAGAGGCUCUGUCUGGUAAGAUCUACCAACAGGUACAGGAAAAGGUGCUCAACAUCACUAACUAUCAGGGUUUUGCAAAUCAAAACCACGACAAGAUACCACCUCACACCUGCAAGAAUGACUAUCAUCAAAAAGUCAAGAAAUAACAAAUGUUGGGGAUUCCCCGGUGGUCUAGUGGUUAGGAUUGAGCACUUUACUAUCCUGGCCUGGGUUCAGUCUCUGGUCAGGGAAGUGAGAUCCUGCCACCCGAGCCUCAUGGCCAAAAUAAAAAUAAAUAAAAAGGAACACAUGUUGGUGAGGAUGUGGAGAAAAGAAAAUCCUUGUGCACUGUUGGUGGACAUGUACAUUGGUGCAAACACCAAAGAAAACAGCGUGGAGGGUCCUUAAAAACUUAAAAAUAGAGCUGCCAUAUGAGCCAGCAAUUCUACUGCUAG